AACGAACGCUGGCGGCAUGCCUAACACAUGCAAGUCGAACGCGACCUUCCGGUCUAGUUGCGCACCUCUGCGUAACGCCUGGUAACUUGCCCUUAGGUUCCGUAUCCCUUCCCGUAAGGGGUCUUCAUACCGGUUAAUGUCUUCGCACCAAAGACUUGUCGCGUUUGGAUGGGCCCGCGUUGGAUUAGCUAGUUGGUAGUGUACAAGCCUCCCAAUGCGUCGUUCCAUAGCUGGUCUGAUAGGAUGAUCAGCCAGACUGGGACUGAGACACGGCCAAGACUGCUACGGAACGGAGCAGUGGGGAAUAUUGGAGAAUGAGCGAAAGCCUAAUCCAGCAGCGCGGCGUAAGUGAGGAAGGGGUUAGGGUUGUAAAGCUCUUUUACCCGGGGUGAUAAUGACGGUACCGGGAGAAUAAGCGCCGGCUAACUCCGUG
rnacentral:rRNA from 1 species